UGGGGGAUAUUGCGCAAUGGAGGAAACUCUGACGCAGCAACGCCGCGUGAAGGAAGAAGGUCUUCGGAUUGUAAACUUUUGUCUUCGUGGACGAUAAUGACGGUACCCGAGGAGGAAGCCACGGCUAACUACGUGCCAGCAGCCGCGGUAAUACGUAGGUGGCGAGCGUUGUCCGGAAUUACUGGGUGUAAAGGGUGCGUAGGCGGGUUGACAAGUCAGAUGUGAAAUCCCAUGGCUUAACUGUGGGACUGCAUUUGAAACUGUUGGCCUUGAGUGCAGGAGAGGUAAGCGGAAUUCCCAGUGUAGCGGUGAAAUGCGUAGAUAUUGGGAGGAACACCAGUGGCGAAGGCGGCUUACUGGACUGCAACUGACGCUGAUGCACGAAAGCGUGGGGAUCAAACAGG
rnacentral:rRNA from 2 species